rnacentral:rRNA from 1 species
AGUUUGAUCAUGGCUCAGGACGAACGCUGGCGGCGUGCUUAACACAUGCAAGUCUAGGGGGCCCAGCAAUGGGUCACCGGCGAACGGGUGCGUAACACGUGAGCGACCUACCUCGAGAUGGGGGAUAGCCGGCCCAACGGCCGGGUAAUACCGCAUACGCUCUUCGGGCCUCAUGGCUUGGAGAGGAAAGCUUUAGCGUCUCUAGAGGGGCUCGCGGCCUAUCAGCUUGUUGGCGGGGUAACGGCCCACCAAGGCUAUGACGGGUAGCUGGUCUGAGAGGAUGGCCAGCCACAUUGGGACUGAGAAACGGCCCAGACUCCUACGGGAGGCAGCAGUGGGGAAUAUUGCGCAAUGGUCGAAAGACUGACGCAGCGACGCCGCGUGGAGGAUGAAGCCCUUCGGGGUGUAAACUCCUGUUGCUCGGGACGAAACCCCCUUUCGAGGGGACUGACGGUACCGAGUGAGGAAGCACCGGCUAACUCUGUGCCAGCAGCCGCGGUAAUACAGAGGGUGCGAGCGUUGUCCGGAAUCACUGGGCGUAAAGGGCGCGUAGGCGGCUUGGUAAGCGUGCGGUGAAAGCUCGAGGCUCAACCUCGAGUCUGCCGUGCGAACUGCCGAGCUGGAGCACGGUAGAGGCACAUGGAA